CAUGAUGAAUCUAUUAUUAAAGAUAAGCUAACAAAAAAAUGGCGAUUCAACAAAAGCCUUACCCGUUCUAGAGUUACUGGUGGCCAAGAUAAUGAAGAACUGUGAACUGAGUUGCCUCCAAAUGUAUUUCUAUCACCACUACCACAAUCCCUAUGCCACCUCUGCCUAAUUUUUAACAAAUAUAAGCAUUUAAUUUCACUAUUAUUCACCUCACUAGGAGUUAAUAUAAAAAGGAUGUUCAAACGUGAAUGUGUAGUGCGGCCAAUUUCAUUAACAUUAUUAAUGGGAAAAUAUGCGGUAGUUUUAUCAUGGCCUUUAUAACAAUACUUACGACCGUUUUAUGGUUGAGUUGACAAUGUCGUUCAUGAUUCUAUUUUAAAACUGACACUUUGGCAGAAAUAUCAUUAUGCGUUCUUCUUUUACCAGUAGCCCAAGGCCUCAGCUUUAUCAGGACGAAUGGGUGUUGUACACCGCCGGUAAUCCGUCAUUAUUCAUUACUUUCACCUACAACCCUAAAAGGGAUAUUAUACAUUAAUUAUUUCCUCUGCAGACGACUUCCCAGAUUUAUU